rnacentral:rRNA from 1 species
GAUGAACGCUGGCGGCGUGCCUAACACAUGCAAGUCGAACGAAGCGCCUUUCCGGAAGCCUCCGGGCCGAAGGGAAGAUGACUGAGUGGCGGACGGGUGAGUAACGCGUGGGCAACCUGCCUCAUACAGGGGGAUAACAGCCGGAAACGGCUGCUAACACCGCAUAAGCCUGCAGUCCCGCAUGGGACGGGAGGAAAAAAUUUAUUGGUAUGAGAUGGGCCCGCGUCUGAUUAGCUGGUUGGCGGGGUAACGGCCCACCAAGGCGAUGAUCAGUAGCCGGCUUGAGAGAGUGACCGGCCACAUUGGGACUGAGACACGGCCCAAACUCCUACGGGAGGCAGCAGUGGGGAAUAUUGCACAAUGGGGGGAACCCUGAUGCAGCGACGCCGCGUGAGUGAAGAAGUAUCUCGGUAUGUAAAGCUCUAUCAGCAGGGAAGAAGAAAUGACGGUACCUGACUAAGAAGCCCCGGCUAACUACGUGCCAGCCGCCGCAGUAAAAC